GCGGGUGUAGUUUAGUGGUAGAAUUCCAGCCUUCCAAGCUGGUCGUGUGGGUUCGAUUCCCAUCACCCGCUCCA
rnacentral:tRNA from 2 species